UACGAACGCUGGCGGCGUGCCUAACACAUGCAAGUCGAGCGAGUUAAUCUCCUUCGGGAGUGAAGCUAGCGGCGGACGGGUGAGUAACACGUGGGCAACCUGCCUCAUAGAGGGGAAUAGCCUUCCGAAAGGAAGAUUAAUACCGCAUAAGAUUGUAGCUUCGCAUGAAGUAGCAAUUAAAGGAGGAAUCCGAUAUGAGAUGGGCCGGCGGCGCAUUAGCUAGUUGGUGAGGUAACGGCGCACCAAGGCGACGAUGCGUAGCCGACCUGAGAUGGUGAUCGGGCACAUUGGGACUGGGACACGGCCCAGACUACGACGGGAGGCAGCAGUGGGGAAUAUUGCACAAUGGGGGAAACACUGUUGCAGCGACGCAGCGUGAGUGAUGACGGCCUUCGGGUUGUAAAGCUCUGUCUUCAGGGACGAUAAUGACGGUACCUGAGGAGGAAGCCACGGCUAACUACGUGCCAGCCGCCGCCGUAAGAC
rnacentral:rRNA from 1 species